AGUGAACGCUGGCGGCAGGCCUAACACAUGCAAGUCGAGCGGCAGCGGGUCGUAGCAAUACGAUGCCGGCGAGCGGCGGACGGGUGAGGAAUACAUCGGAAUCUACCUAGUCGUGGGGGAUAACGUAGGGAAACUUACGCUAAUACCGCAUAUGACCUGAGGGUGAAAGCAGGGGACCGCAAGGCCUUGCGCGAUUGGAUGAGCCGAUGUCGGAUUAGCUAGUUGGUGAGGUAAAGGCUCACCAAGGCGACGAUCCGUAGCUGGUCUGAGAGGAUGAUCAGCCAAACUGGAACUGAGACACGGUCCAGGCUCCUACGGGAGGCAGCAGUGGGGAAUAUUGGACAAUGGGCGCAAGCCUGAUCCAGCCAUGCCGCGUGUGUGAAGAAGGCCUUCGGGUUGUAAAGCACUUUUGUCCGGGAAGAAAUCUUCCGACCUAAUACGUCGGGAGGAUGACGGUACCGGAAGAAUAAGCACCGGCUAACUUCGUGCCAGCCGCCGGCGUAA
rnacentral:rRNA from 1 species